rnacentral:rRNA from 1 species
UACAGAGGUCCCAAGCGUUGUUCGGAUUCACUGGGCGUAAAGGGUGCGUAGGCGGUCGGGUAAGUCUGAUGUGAAAUCUCACAGCUUAACUGUGAAACUGCAUUGGAUACUAUCCGGCUCGAGGAAUGGAGGGGAGACUGGAAUACUUGGUGUAGCAGUGAAAUGCGUAGAUAUCAAGUGGAACACCAGUGGCGAAGGCGGCGACCUGGGUAGAUACUGACGUGAGGUGCGAAAGCGUGGGGAGCAAACAGG